UGAGGAAUAUUGGUCAAUGGGCGGAAGCCUGAACCAGCCAUGCCGCGUGAAGGAAUAAGGCCCUAUGGGUCGUAAACUUCUUUUGGCGGGGAGCAAUAAGGUCUACGUGUAGACCGAUGAGAGUACUCGUUGAAUAAGCAUCGGCUAACUCCGUGCCAGCAGCCGCGGUAAUACGGAGGAUGCGAGCGUUAUCCGGAUUUAUUGGGUUUAAAGGGUGCGCAGGCGGCGUGCCAAGUCAGCGGUCAAAGUUCCGGGCUCAACCCGGUGAUGCCGUUGAAACUGGUGUGCUUGAGUGCGUGCGAGGGAGGCGGAAUGCGUUGUGUAGCGGUGAAAUGCAUAGAUAUGACGCAGAACUCCGAUUGCGAAGGCAGCUUUCCAGCACGCCACUGACGCUGAGGCACGAAAGCGUGGGGAUCGAACAGGAUUAGAUACCCUGGUAGU
rnacentral:rRNA from 1 species